UACGUAGGGGGCAAGCGUUGUCCGGAAUCAUUGGGCGUAAAGAGCGUGUAGGCGGCCCGAUAAGUCCGCUGUGAAAGUCCAGGGCUCAACCCUGGAAUGCCGGUGGAUACUGUCGGGCUCGAAUCCGGAAGAGGUGAGUGGAAUUCCUGGUGUAGCGGUGAAAUGCGCAGAUAUAAGGAGGAACACCAAUGGCGAAGGCAGCUCGCUGGGACGUGACUGACGCUGAGACGCGAAAGCGUGGGGAGCAAACAGG
rnacentral:rRNA from 1 species